GGAANAUUGGUCAAUGGGCGCNAGCCUGAACCAGCCAAGUAGCGUGAAGGAUGAAGGCUCUAUGGGUCGUAAACUUCUUUUAUAUAAGAAUAAAGUGCAGUAUGUAUACUGUUUUGUAUGUAUUAUAUGAAUAAGGAUCGGCUAACUAACUCCGGGCCAGCAGCCGCGGUAAUACAUAAAAAANNGUNUNC
rnacentral:rRNA from 1 species